UGGUGAAACUGAGUUGGUUGUGGCAAAUCCUUCCAAACCAGGAAAGGAAGGCCUUAGAACAUUUAAGUUCAAUAAGGUCUUUGGUCCAACCUCAACUCAAGCUGGGGUGUAUGCUGACAUACAAGCCUUCAUACGAUCAGUAUUGGAUGGGUAUAACGUAUGUAUAUUUGCUUAUGGUCAAACUGGUUCAGGGAAAACUUUCACAAUGAGUGGUCCAAAUAAUGCAACACCCGAGACUGUUGGUGUUAACUAUCGAGCUCUUAAUGAUCUCUUCAGCAUAUCUACAAGUAGA
rnacentral:sRNA from 1 species